rnacentral:rRNA from 1 species
GAUCCUGGCUCAGGACGAACGCUGGCGGCGUGCCUAAUACAUGCAAGUUGAGCGCUGAAGACUGGUACUUGUACCGGUUGGAUGAGCAGCGAACGGGUGAGUAACGCGUGGGUAACCUGCCCUAUAGAGGGGGAUAACUAGAGGAAACUUUAGCUAAUACCGCAUAAAAUCUAAUAACACAUGUUAUAAGAUUGAAAGUGCCAACUGGUACACUAUAGGAUGGACCCGCGUUGUAUUAGCUAGUUGGUG